CCCUUAGAUGUCCUGGGCUGCACGCGCGCUACACUGGAAGUUACGGAUUGAGAUACUACCUUGUCCGAAAUGGUCCGGAUAAUCACCUAAAAGCUUGUCAUAAUUGGAAUGGAUUAUUGUAACUAGUAAUCCUGAACGAGGAAUUCCUAGUAAGUCCCAGUCAACAGCUGGUACUGAUUACGUCCCUGCCCUUUGUACACACCGCCCGUCGCUACUACUGAUUGGACGUUUAAGCAAGAUUUUUAAACACUGACAGUGUGUAGUUCACGCUAUACUACAGUGAGAAGAAGAAGAUCGAGCUUACUUGUCUAGAGGAAGUAAAAGUCGUAACA
rnacentral:rRNA from 1 species